AAUUAUUUUUUUUUUUUUUUAGUAGUUUUCUAUAAGUACUUAUUGUUUGUGAUGAAUAAUCAUGGUUCGACAGUGUAUUCUUAAUUACUGCAAAAGUUCAA